UCUGUGUUCGUGUUUUCCAACCAAGACGAUGAUUUAUUGACUCAAGGAUGAAGUAAAUUCAAAACAAAAACGGCGCCGGCAUUCUUACAUUAACACCAUCAAACAAACUGAUUAAAAGGUGUGUGUUCGUGGUGCAACCAGGACGCUUUCUUAUUUGACUCAGAUCUUUUGAAGGAUGAAGUAGAUUCAUUACAUAAAACAGUCGCCGCCGUUCUUACAGUAACAACAUCAAACUUAUUUUAAAAGGAGUUGAUUUUAGCUUCUGGGAGAUGCCCAUUGAAAGAGCUGCUUUGGGAGUUCCCACGAGGCUUAUGUUACCCACGAGAUUGACAGAAUAGCUCCUUCAUUCAGCACGUACUGGAGAUGCGAACCACGAGGUAAAAUAGGAAUGAUGGCAUCAGAAGUAGAUACAGCAUUUUGACAAGGUUUGAUAGUCAGGAAUGUACGGAUACAUUCUACCAACAUUUUAAAGGGAAACAAUUCAAUUCUCUGGAGGCAUUAUUUUCUUUUGAGUCAACCUAUGUCAGAUGUAUAUUUACGUUGAAUAUGAAACCAACUGUAUCUUUGUGAUUGUUCAGCUGCUGCCAACUCUAUGCUGGAAGAUGCAUGUAUGUCGUCGACUGCGUUUUACUCUAGAUGUUCAGUUUACCUGUUAGAGUGGAUCUGUUGACCAUGCACACCCUUCUGCUGCUGGCCCGAUAGAGAAACCUACUGGUUCAGUUUGUCUUGGUAAAGUCUUAACCUUAAUUAUUCAAAUUUAUGCAGAAAUAUGGCUUAGUCUAGCUCUAGAAAAAGUGUAAAUCUAGACAUUGGUACUAAAAUUGACAUAUCUGGUGUCAUGUAUUGGCUACGUUUGGUUUGGGUAUAUUCUAAACCUUGUGAACCA